GGCAUACGAAGCUCCAGCAUGCGAAAAUGCAAAUGCAGGGACAAGCUCAGCAAGGUUAUGACAUAGCAGCACGUUUCGAAUUCACUUCAAAAUGCAGAUCAUAAGGAGCGAGACAAUAAAAUGCACAAGCAUGCUUCUCUGUGGCUUACUGCUAAUCUACUGCCAGAUCACACAUGUUGGGGCUCAAGACACAUAUGUGGCAGAGGUGAUGAUCGAAGGGAACGCAACCAUGGAUGUAUCUGGAUUCAUAUCUGAAAUGAUCAUGGACAUCACAACCACCACGUCCAUCGUGGACGCUGAAAUAAUCGGCGAAUGUGAGCUCGUUGGUGAUGAGACAACAUGCUGGUGUGAGCCUAAUUACAUUUGGAGUGACCUAGUGUGCGACACUUUCACUACCUGCUGCAACACUAUACAGUGUGUGGCGAAUGUCUCCGAUUUCACGCCGAUGUGUGUUCCCCAAGUGAACGUUACUCUUUAUGGAGUCCUCACCAUGUCCUCCGUAACCACCCUUCACACGCAGCUGGAAGCUGAGUUCAAGCUGCUGAAUGGGUUCAACACGUUCACCAGUCUAAUAAUUACUGGCGGUCAGACUUUCACUGUGAGUCUCAAUGCCACGUGUAAAUCUGCGAAGCUUCAAAACAUAAUCUCAUACAUGAUAACGACCUACACGUACAUUACAAAUUUCAACAUUACAACGACAGGAAUGGCCAGUAUCGAAAUUCCUCAGGGGAAGGUGUGUUAUAAUUCACAGUACAAACUGAACUGCAGCACAGAGGAAACCAUGGAGACGUGCACAUGGAUGAUUGCUUAUCCUAACCAGUACCCACAGAUAAUUGGGGUAGGGUCAGAAGUGGAACUACUGCCUUGUUCAAACCAAUCAUCAAUCAACCUUCUGAACAUAAAAGGGAAUUG
ensembl:lncRNA